UACGUAGGGUGCAAGCGUUAAUCGGAAUUACUGGGCGCAAAGCGUGCGCAGGCGGUUUUGUAAGUCUGUCGUGAAAUCCCCGGGCUCAACCUGGGAAUUGCGUUGGAGACUGCAAGGCUGGAGUCUGGCAGAGGGGGGGUAGAAUUCCACGUGUAGCAGUGAAAUGCGUAGAGAUGUGGAGGAACACCGAUGGCGAAGGCAGCCCCCUGGGUCAAGACUGACGCUCAUGCA
rnacentral:rRNA from 1 species